rnacentral:rRNA from 1 species
UACGAAGGGUCCAAGCGUUAUCCGGAUUUAUUGGGUUUAAAGGGUGCGUAGGCGGCUUAUUAAGUCAGUGGUGAAAGACUUCAGCUUAACUGAAGAACUGCCAUUGAUACUGAUGAGCUUGAGUACAGUUGAGGUGGGCGGAAUGUGUCAUGUAGCGGUGAAAUGCUUAGAUAUGACACAGAACACCGAUUGCGAAGGCAGCUCGCUAAACUGUAACUGACACUGAGGCACGAAAGCGUGGGGAGCAAACAGG